AUCUUCCAAGAAUUGUUUUUUGUCGGAAUACUCGUUGGUAUUCUCUCAGGAAUUACCGACGACAACGAAAUCUCUGCAUUUUGUCGGAAUGUUCGUUGUAUUCUCUAGAGAAUUACCGACAACAACGAAGUCUCUGAAAUUUACGAAAAAAUUGACAGAAAAUCGCCGGAAGAAUUAUUGCGUACACGUGUUAUCAUUGCAAUAGUUUCCUAGAAGACAUCGACGACAACCGGCGUCAAUAGUUUCUUGGUUUGUGAUAAUUUUGUUGGCGUUCAAUUUAGUUUUCAUUUCUUAAAUCAGCCAUCUCCACAUUAAAAUUUCAAUUUUUUGUAGAUCUCACCAUAUUCAUCUAAUCUUCUCAAAGAUAUUUUUAACCACGCAUCUCUAAUCCUUUCUGCCGACGAAGAUCUUGUGGAUUUUGCUUUGUUUGUUAAUUGUGGGAGGAGAACAUCGACUCUGGUGUGUGGUCUAACAGUGUCGUCUCGAUGCCGUGAGGAUGGUUUGUCUUGCACACUUUCAUCUCCUCUGUGGUUGUCAAUUCUUCUUCUUAACUAGAUUGUAAGCAAGUUUGAUACCUGGCACUGCUAGUUCUUCACAGCAUCUUGGUGGCAGAUCCGACUUUCCAAAGAUUGUAGAACUUUGGUUUAUGUAAACCACUUAUAAUCUCUCCGGUUUGGGUUGGUAUAGAUAUCAAUAAAUAUUAUUUUAAAAUACUACUAGACCUUGAUCCAUGCGAUCGCACGAAUAUCUAUUUUUUUUUAGUUUUUGUUUGUAUUAAAUGAUGUAUUUGUAAUAUUUGAUCAAAAAUUUAGAUAAAAAAUUAUCUU